rnacentral:rRNA from 1 species
UGAUGUGAAAGCCCCGGCUCACCGGGGAGGGUCAUUGGAAACUGGGGAACUUGAGUGCAGAAGAGGAGAGUGGAAUUCCACGUGUAGCGGUGAAAUGCGUAGAGAUGUGGAGGAACACCAGUGGCGAAGGCGACUCUCUGGUCUGUAACUGACGCUGAGGCGCGAAAGCGUGGGGAGCGAACAGGAUUAGAUACCCUGGUAGUCCACGCCGUAAACGAUGAGUGCUAAGUGUUAGAGGGUUUCCGCCCUUUAGUGCUGCAGCAAACGCAUUAAGCACUCCGCCUGGGGAGUACGGUCGCAAGACUGAAACUCAAAGGAAUUGACGGGGGCCCGCACAAGCGGUGGAGCAUGUGGUUUAAUUCGAAGCAACGCGAAGAACCUUACCAGGUCUUGACAUCYUCUGACAACCCUAGAGAUAGGGCUUCCCCUUCGGGGGCAGAGUGMCAGGUGGUGCAUGGUUGUCGUCAGCUCGUGUCGUGAGAUGUUGGGUUAAGUCCCGCAACGAGCGCAACCCUUGAUCUUAGUUGCCASCAUUCAGUUGGSCACUUUAAGGUGACUGCCGGUGACAAACCGGAGGAAGGUGGGGAUGACGUCAAAUCAUCAUGCCCCUUAUGRCCUGGGCUACRCACGUGYUMCAAUGGGCAGAACAAAGGGCAGCRAAGCCGCGAGGUUAAGCCAAUCCCACAAAUCUGUUYUCAGUUCGGAUCSCAGUCUGCAACUSGAYUGCGUGAAGCKGGAAUCGYUAGUAAUCGCGGAUCASCAUGCCGCGGUGAAUACGUUCCCGGSCSUUGUACACACCUCCCGUCRCACCACGAGAGUU